UUUGAUAGAGACCAUAAAGACUGGACUGUGUUUCAAUGGAUAAAGGUCAUGUGGUCUGAUGAGUCCAGACUGGCCCUGUUCCAGUGUGAUGGACACGUCAGGGUGAGAAGAAAG